GAUGAACGCUGGCGGCGUGCCUAAUACAUGCAAGUCGAGCGAACGGACGAGAAGCUUGCUUCUCUGAUGUUAGCGGCGGACGGGUGAGUAACACGUGGAUAACCUACAUAUAAGACUGGGAUAACUUCGGGAAACCGGAGCUAAUACCGGAUGAUAUUUUGAACCGCAUGGUUCAAAAGUGAAAGACGGUCUUGCUGUCACUUAUAGAUGGAUCCGCGCUGCAUUAGCUAGUUGGUAAGGUAACGGCUUACCAAGGCAACGAUGCAUAGCCGACCUGAGAGGGUGAUCGGCCACACUGGAACUGAGACACGGUCCAGACUCCUACGGGAGGCAGCAGUAGGGAAUCUUCCGCAAUGGGCGAAAGCCUGACGGAGCAACGCCGCGUGAGUGAUGAAGGUCUUCGGAUCGUAAAACUCUGUUAUUAGGGAAGAACAUAUGUGUAAGUAACUGUGCACAUCUUGACGGUACCUAAUCAGAAAGCCACGGCUAACUACGUG
rnacentral:rRNA from 1 species